rnacentral:rRNA from 1 species
UACGUAGGCAGCGAGCGUUGUUCGGAGUUACUGGGCGUAAAGGGUGUGUAGGCGGUUGUUUUAAGUUUGGUGUGAAAUCUCCCGGCUCAACUGGGAGGGUGCGCCGAAUACUGAAUGACUUGGAGUGCGGGAGAGGAAAGUGGAAUUCCUGGUGUAGCGGUGAAAUGCGUAGAUAUCAGGAGGAACACCAACGGCGAAGGCAGCUCGCUGGGACGGUACUGACGCUGAGGAGCGAAAGCGUGGGGAGCGAACAGG